rnacentral:rRNA from 1 species
UACGAAGGGGGCCAGCGUUGUUCGGAAUCAUUGGGCGUAAAGGGCGCGUAGGCGGCCAAGCAAGUCGGAGGUGAAAUCCCUCGGCUCAACCGGGGAACUGCCCCCGAUACUGCUUGGCUCGAGUCCCGGAGAGGGUAGUGGAAUUCCCAGUGUAGCGGUGAAAUGCGUAGAUAUUGGGAGGAACACCGGUGGCGAAGGCGGCUACCUGGACGGGUACUGACGCUGAGGCGCGAAAGCGUGGGGAGCAAACAGG